rnacentral:rRNA from 1 species
UGCGUAGGUGGCCUUUUAAGUUGGAUGUGAAAUACCCGGGCUUAACUUGGGGGGUGCAUCCAAAACUGGGAGGCUAGAGUGCAGGAGAGGAAAGCGGAAUUCCUAGUGUAGCGGUGAAAUGCGUAGAUAUUAGGAGGAACACCAGUGGCGAAGGCGGCUUUCUGGACUGUAACUGACACUGAGGCACGAAAGCGUGGGGAGCAAACA